AACGAACGCUGGCGGCAUGCCUAACACAUGCAAGUCGAACGAGACCUUCGGGUCUAGUGGCGCACGGGUGCGUAACGCGUGGGAACCUGCCCUUAGGUUCGGAAUAACUCCCCGAAAGGGGUGCUAAUACCGGAUAAUGUCUUCGGACCAAAGAUUUAUCGCCUUUGGAUGGGCCCGCGUUGGAUUAGCUAGUUGGUAGGGUAAAAGCCUACCAAGGCGACGAUCCAUAGCUGGUCUGAGAGGAUGAUCAGCCACACUGGGACUGAGACACGGCCCAGACUCCGACGGGAAGCAGCAGUGGGGAAUAUUGGACCAGGGGGGAAAGCCUGAUACAGCAAUGCCGGGUGAGUGAUGAAGGGCUUAGGGUUGUAAAGCUCUUUUACCCGGGAUGAUAAUGACAGUACCGGGAGAAUAAGCUCCGGCUAACUCCGUG
rnacentral:rRNA from 1 species